rnacentral:misc_RNA from 1 species
GAUGGAGAACGCAGCGAAAUGCGAUACUUGGUGUGAAUUGCAGAAUCCCGUGAACCAUCGAGUCUUUGAACGCAAGUUGCGCCCGAAGCCAUCAGGUUGAGGGCACGUCUGCCUGGGCGUCACAUAUCGUUGCCCAAUGCCUAUUGCAGUGCAAUAGGAAUUUCUAGGGCGAAUGAUGGCUUCCCGUGAGCGUUGUUGCCUCGCGGUUGGUUGAAAAUCGAGUCCUUGGUAGGGUGUGCCAUGGUAGAUGGUGGUCGAGUUAGAACGAUACCGAUCAUGUGCAUGCUCCCCAAAAUAUGGCCUCUAUGACCCACACGCGUCUUUUGACGCUCAUGACGAGACCUCAGGUCAGGCGGGGCUACCCGCUGAAUUUAAGCAUAUCAAUAAGCGGAGGA